rnacentral:rRNA from 1 species
GAUGAACGCUGGCGGCGUGCCUAAUACAUGCAAGUCGAGCGAACGGACGAGAAGCUUGCUUCUCUGAUGUUAGCGGCGGACGGGUGAGUAACACGUGGAUAACCUACCUAUAAGACUGGGAUAACUUCGGGAAACCGGAGCUAAUACCGGAUAAUAUUUUGAACCGCAUGGUUCAAAGGUGAAAGACGGUCUUGCUGUCACUUAUAGAUGGAUCCGCGCUGCAUUAGCUAGUUGGUAAGGUAACGGCUUACCAAGGCAACGAUGCAUAGCCGACCUGAGAGGGUGAUCGGCCACACUGGAACUGAGACACGGUCCAGACUCCUACGGGAGGCAGCAGUAGGGAAUCUUCCGCAAUGGGCGAAAGCCUGACGGAGCAACGCCGCGUGAGUGAUGAAGGUCUUCGGAUCGUAAAACUCUGUUAUUAGGGAAGAACAUAUGUGUAAGUAACUGUGCACAUCUUGACGGUACCUAAUCAGAAAGCCACGGCUAACUACGUGCCAGCAGCCGCGGUAAUACGUAGGUGGCAAGCGUUAUCCGGAAUUAUUGGGCGUAAAGCGCGCGUAGGCGGUUUUUUAAGUCUGAUGUGAAAGCCCACGGCUCAACCGUGGAGGGUCAUUGGAAACUGGAAAACUUGAGUGCAGAAGAGGAAAGUGGAAUUCCAUGUGUAGCGGUGAAAUGCGCAGAGAUAUGGAGGAACACCAGUGGCGAAGGCGACUUUCUGGUCUGUAACUGACGCUGAUGUGCGAAAGCGUGGGGAUCAAACAGGAUUAGAUACCCUGGUAGUCCACGCCGUAAACGAUGAGUGCUAAGUGUUAGGGGGUUUCCGCCCCUUAGUGCUGCAGCUAACGCAUUAAGCACUCCGCCUGGGGAGUACGACCGCAAGGUUGAAACUCAAAGGAAUUGACGGGGACCCGCACAAGCGGUGGAGCAUGUGGUUUAAUUCGAAGCAACGCGAAGAACCUUACCAAAUCUUGACAUCCUUUGACAACUCUAGAGAUAGAGCUUUCCCCUUCGGGGGACAAAGUGACAGGUGGUGCAUGGUUGUCGUCAGCUCGUGUCGUGAGAUGUUGGGUUAAGUCCCGCAACGAGCGCAACCCUUAAGCUUAGUUGCCAUCAUUAAGUUGGGCACUCUAAGUUGACUGCCGGUGACAAACCGGAGGAAGGUGGGGAUGACGUCAAAUCAUCAUGCCCCUUAUGAUUUGGGCUACACACGUGCUACAAUGGACAAUACAAAGGGCAGCGAAACCGCGAGGUCAAGCAAAUCCCAUAAAGUUGUUCUCAGUUCGGAUUGUAGUCUGCAACUCGACUACAUGAAGCUGGAAUCGCUAGCAAUCGUAGAUCAGCAUGCUACGGUGAAUACGUUCCCGGGUCU